UGGGGAAUAUUGCACAAUGGGGAAACCCGUAGCAUGCAGCGACGCCGCGUGAAGGAAGACGGUUUUCGGAUUGUAAACUUCUGUUCUUAGUGAAGAAUAAUGACGGUAGCUAAGGAGCAAGCCACGGCUAACUACGUGCCAGCAGCCGCGGUAAUACGUAGGUGGCAAGCGUUGUCCGGAAUUACUGGGUGUAAAGGGAGCGCAGGCGGGAGACCAAGUCAGCUGUGAAAACUACGGGCUUAACCUGUAGACUGCAGUUGAAACUGGUUUCUUGAGUGAAGUAGAGGUUGGCGGAAUUCCGAGUGUAGCGGUGAAAUGCGUAGAUAUUCGGAGGAACACCGGUGGCGAAGGCGGCCAACUGGGCUUUAACUGACGCUGAGGCUCGAAAGUGUGGGGAGCAAACAGGAUUAGAUACC
rnacentral:rRNA from 1 species